UACGGAGGGUGCGAGCGUUGUCCGGAAUCAUUGGGCGUAAAGGGCGCGUAGGUGGCCUGGCAAGCGUGCGGUGAAAGCUCGGGGCUCAACCCCGAGUCGGCCGUGCGAACUGCUGGGCUCGAGCACUGUAGAGGCAGGCGGAAUUCCGGGUGUAGCGGUGGAAUGCGUAGAGAUCCGGAAGAACACCGGUGGCGAAGGCGGCCUGCUGGGCAGUGGCUGACACUGAGGCGCGACAGCGUGGGGAGCAAACAGGAUUGAG
rnacentral:rRNA from 1 species